rnacentral:tRNA from 1 species
AGGGGUGUAGUUCAGUUGGUAGAAUCGCGGUCUCCAAAACCGUUGGUCCUGGGUUCGAGUCCUAGCGCCCCUGCCA